rnacentral:rRNA from 1 species
GUGGUGCAUGGCUGUCGUCAGCUCGUGUCGUGAGAUGUUGGGUUAAGUCCCGCAACGAGCGCAACCCUUAUCCUGUGUUGCCAGCACGCCCUUCGGGGUGGUGGGGACUCACGGGAGACUGCCGGGGUCAACUCGGAGGAAGGUGGGGACGACGUCAAGUCAUCAUGCCCCUUAUGUCUUGGGCUGCACACGUGCUACAAUGGCCGGUA